rnacentral:rRNA from 1 species
UACGUAGGGAGCAAGCGUUGUCCGGAUUUACUGGGUGUAAAGGGUGCGUAGGCGGCUUUGCAAGUCAGAAGUGAAAUCCAUGGGCUUAACCCAUGAACUGCUUUUGAAACUGCAAGGCUUGAGUGAAGUAGAGGCAGGCGGAAUUCCCGGUGUAGCGGUGAAAUGCGUAGAGAUCGGGAGGAACACCAGUGGCGAAGGCGGCCUGCUGGGCUUUAACUGACGCUGAGGCACGAAAGCAUGGGUAGCAAACAGG